GAAACUAUUUAUCUCGAGUACGAUAGGGGAGGGCGGAAUCCCAGUGUAGAGGUGAAAUUCAUAGAUAUUGGGAGGAACACCAGUGGCGAAGGCGACCCUCUGGAUCGAUACUGACGCUGAGACGCGAAAGCGUGGGUAGCAAACAGGAUUAGAUACCCUGGUAGUCCACGCUGUAAACGAUGUGCACUAGGUGUUGGAGGUGCUUAAUCCUUCAGUGCCGCAGCUAACGCAUUAAGUGCACCGACUGGGGAUUACGGCCGCAAGGCUAAACUCAAAGGAAUUGACGGGGGCCCGCACAAGCGGUGGAGCAUGUGGUUCAAUUCGACGCAACGCGAAGAACCUUACCUGGGUUUGACAUCCGCUGACAACCCUGGAAACAGGGUCUUCUCCGCAAGGGGACAGCGAGACAGGUGCUGCAUGGCUGUCGUCAGCUCGUGUCGUGAGAUGUUGGGUUAAGUCCCGCAACGAGCGCAACCCUCAUCCUUAGUUGCCAUCAUUGAGUUGGGAACUCUAAGGAAACUGCCUCGGUUAACGGGGAGGAAGGUGGGGAUGACGUCAAGUCCUCAUGGCCUUUAUGUCCAGGGCUACACACGUGCUACAAUGGGCGGUAUAAAGGGUUGCAAUCCCGCGAGGGGGAGCUAAUCUCAAAAAACCGCUCUCAGUUCAGAUUGGAGUCUGCAACUCGACUCCAUGAAGGCGGAAUCGCUAGUAAUCGCGGAUCAGCAUGCCGCGGUGAUACGUUCCCGGGCCUUGUACACACCGCCCGUCACACCAUGAGAGCUGACUGUACCAGAAGUCGCUCAGC
rnacentral:rRNA from 1 species